GCCCGCUCCAUCGGGGAGUAGCCGACCGGCGACGACAUGCGUCGGGGCGCGCGUCAACACACUUGAUCGACCGAUCAUGGCGCGCGCGAUGCGGAGCCCAUCCGCUUCCGGCAAGACCGCUGGUUCUCACGCAAC
rnacentral:ncRNA from 2 species